AUCCUUCAGUUCCUUAGCGUGAUGAUUGGGUGUUCAUGCUUUAUGAAUGAAAUGUGCCCCCUCCAACCUUGUUAUGAUGUGGGCACGUUACUGUUCUGACG